rnacentral:rRNA from 1 species
CGGGUAACGGGGUGUUAGGGCACGACACCGGAGAGGGAGCCUGAGAAACGGCUACCACAUCCAAGGAUGGCAGCAGGCGCGCAAAUUACCCAAUCCCGACACGGGGAGGUAGUGACAAUAAAUAACAAUACGGGGUCCUUUCGGGUUUCGUAAUUGGAAUGAGUACAAUUUAAAUCUCUUAACGAGGAACAAUUGGAGGGCAAGUCUGGUGCCAGCAGCCGCGGUAAUUCCAGCUCCAAUAGCGUAUAUUAAAGUUGUUGCAGUUAAAAAGCUCGUAGUUGAAUUUCGGGAUUAGUACGUCGGUCGUGCCUUAGGUACGUACUGGUGUUACUGGUUCCUACCUUCUGACGAACCAUCAUGUCAUUAAUUUGGUGUGGUGGGGAAUCAGGACUGUUACUUUGAAAAAAUUAGAGUGUUUAAAGCAGGCUCGCGCUUGAAUACAUUAGCAUGGAAUAAUGAAAUAGGACGUUGAUCCUAUUUUGUUGGUUUCUAGGAUUGACGUAAUGAUUAAUAGGGAUAGUUGGGGGCAUUAGUAUUCAAUUGUCAGAGGUGAAAUUCUUGGAUUUAUUGAAGACUAACUACUGCGAAAGCAUUUGCCAAGGAUGUUUUCAUUAAUCAAGAACGAAAGUUAGGGGAUCGAAGACGAUCAGAUACCGUCGUAGUCUUAACCAUAAACUAUGCCGACUAGGGAUCGGAUGAUGUUAUUUUUAAUGACUCAUUCGGCGCCUUACGG